CCAACAGUCCUUUUCAGGACUACCGAAUGAAUUACGGAAGGAUAUGU
rfam:Anopheles dirus strain WRAIR2 unplaced genomic scaffold supercont1.30, whole genome shotgun sequence.